UACGUAGGGUGCAAGCGUUUAAUCGGAAUUACUGGGCGUAAAGCGUGCGCAGGCGGUUUUGUAAGUCUGUCGUGAAAUCCCCCGGGCUCAACCUGGGAAUUGCGAUGGAGACUGCAAGGCUAGAAUCUGGCAGAGGGGGGUAGAAUUCCACGUGUAGCAGUGAAAUGCGUAGAGAUGUGGAGGAACACCGAUGGCGAAGGCAGCCCCCUGGGUCAAGAUUGACGCUCAUGCACGAAAGGCGUGGGGAGCAAACGAG
rnacentral:rRNA from 1 species